UAGUGUCCAUCAGGGCACGCUCCAAGGCGAGGAAAGGCGAAACGAGGGGGAAGACGACUUCCCUCCGGAGGGUAGACGGGCCUGCUGGGAUACUCCCGGAUGACUCGGAAGACAGUGGGCGGGCUUCGCCGUUCCGCGGAACGCCGGGAAGAGGUCACUUCCAAAAGAAGGUUCCGGUUCCGGUGGAGGCGGUGGUUGAGUUGCCGUGGCAACACGGUAUCCCAGCUCCAGGUUUCUGCAUUAAAGGGCGGCGGCGGGGCUAGAGCCGGCGUGGGUCCGCCACUCCCAGUCUAGGAAGAAGACUCCGCAGCCUUCUGUUGUGAGGAUCCAGGAACGGGAACGGGGAGCAGCCCUUCUCUUACCUAGUGUGCCCCAUCGGCCUGGAAGCAUAGUUGUCUUUCUUACUGUCAGACGUUUCACUGAGAGCACCGCUGUCUUUGAAGGUUCCAAGUAAGCCCUGAGCAGGAAGAAAUGCCCAGCCUGUGUGCUUGGAACUCACAGUAAGCAGAGGUGCUGUGUGAGGUGGCGGGUAAGAACGGGGCUGACACCGAAGGAUGAGAAAGCGUGUCUGUGCUCAUUCAGAACGCUCGGUGGGGCGGCUUCGAUAGCAUGGUCAAGGGCAAGACAAGUCUGAACCUUUGGGUUAGGUCUCUAAACCAAAGAAAUUACAACAAUGUGAAGUUGUUAAUAAAGCAGCCCCACAUGUGAACUAU